AUUGAACGCUGGCGGCAGGCCUAACACAUGCAAGUCGAGCGGAGCGGCGGACGGGUGAGUAAUGCCUAGGAAUCUGCCUGUUAGUGGGGGAUAACGUCCGGAAACGGGCGCUAAUACCGCAUACUAUCAGAUGAGCCUAGGUCGGAUUAGCUAGUUGGUGGGGUAAAGGCCUACCAAGGCGACGAUCCGUACCUGGUCUGAGAGGAUGAUCAGUCACACUGGACCUGGGAACCGGUCCAACCUCCUCGGGGAGGCAGAAGUGGGGAAUAUUGGACAAUGGGCGAACGCCUGAUCCAGCCAUGCCGGGUGUGUGAAGAAGGUCUUCGGUUUGUAAAGCACUUUAAGUUGGGAGGCGUUACCAACAGAAUAAGCACCGGCUAACUUCGUGCCAGCAGCCGCGGUAAUUC
rnacentral:rRNA from 1 species